AUGGCCGCACCCAUGGCAUAUGGAAGUUCCUGGACUAGGGACUGAAUCUGAGCCGCAGGUGCGGCAGAGCCAGAUCCUUUAACCCACUGUGCUGGGCCGGGGAUAGAAACCGAGCCUCUACAGUCAGAUUCUUAACCAACUGCACCACAGUAGGAACCCCAACAUUCGACAUUUGAUGGUGCAGAUACCUCCUUCUUCCUUCAGUGUAAAUAUUCUAAUACAAAUAUUUUUAUUAAUUGCCCCCCGCCAAAAAACAACAAAAAACCAAAAAGCACAAUAAAAAAAUUGGACCUUACCAAACCACCUGUAGGGCUUGCUUGCCCCUCUGGUACACUCUUCCACCCUGUGUCUUGCCUUGGUAAUGCCUGAUGGGUCACCCGAUAGGCUUCAACCUAGACAUCACACAUUUCUUCAGGAACCUUCCCUUCCACUAUGCUCCUGUCACCAGGGGUGUAGUACUAGGGGAAUCACACCUGAUAGCAAUUGCUCAUUUAUUUAGUACCCUCCAGCAUAUACAUUAAAUACAUCUGUAAGUACUUGCUGACUAUUCCACUAGGUAAUAGGCACCACCCAACCUGGGAAAGAUGAUUGGUGCCUUCCCCGUAGAGCCUAGUCCAAGCUUUUGUUUUGUUUGUCCUUUUAUAGCCACACCUAUGGCAUAUGGAAGUUCCCAGGUGCAGCCCUAAAAGGACAAAAGACCAAAAAUAAAUAAAUCAACUGCAGCUUGUGUUAAGCUUAAUCCACUGAGCAAGGCCAAGGGUUGAAUCUACAUCUUCACGGACACUUUGUGGGGUUCUUAACCCACUGAGCCACAAGAGGAACUCCUUGUUUUGUUUUUAAAUGGCUUUAUUGAGAUUUAGUCCAUGGACUAUGCAAUUCACCCAUUUAAGAUGUAAAAUUUGGGAGUUCCUGGGUGGCACAGUGGGUUAAGGAUUUUGCGAUGUCAUUGCUAUGGCUUGUAUUACCGCUGUGGCGCAGGUAAGAUCCCUGGCCCAGGAACUUCUGCAUACUGCAUGUAUAUGGCCAAAAAUAAAUAAAUAAAAUGUACAAUUUAGUGGCUUUUAGUAUAUUUACAAAGUUCAUCACCACAAUCAGUUUUAAAGUUUUCAUCAACCCCAAAAGAAACUUCGCACUCCUUAGGUAUCAUCGCUGGGGCCUCUGCAUCCCCUUCCCUUCCCCAUCACCCAGCCCCUGAGGUAACCACCAAUCUAGUGUAACCACAGAUCCUAUAGAUUUGCCUAUUCUGGAUAUUUCUUAUGUGAAUCAGGUUAGGUCUUCCCCAUCUUACCCAGUUCUGAGAUUCUUCUAAGAACUUCCCUGGAGAUUCAAAUUCAGAGAUCAGAGAAUCUGGUGGGUUCCCCCCCCCCCCCCCCCGCUUUUUAGGGCCGCACCUGCAGCAUAUGGAAGUUCCCAGGCUAGGGGUUUGAAUCGGCGCCACAGCUGCUGGACCACAGCACAACCACAGCCACGUGAGAUCCGAGCCAUGUCUUCCACCUACACCACAGCUCACAGCAACUCCGAAUCCCCAACCCACUGAGUGAGGCCAGGGAUUGAACCUGCACCCUCAUGGAUCCUAGUCGGGUUCGUUAACCAAUGAGCUACAAAGGGAACUCUGGAAUCUGUAUUUUUAACAUGGGGUCUUCUCUAAAGAGUCAAUUCUCUAUUUAAUCAGACUGCAUCUGCCUUUACUGUCUCCAGCAACCAAGGCCAAAUGUAUAGUAGUUGUCAACAAAUAGCUUUUGAUGACUACCUCUAAAACUUAACACAAUCAAGCAUUUUGAGUAUGGCGAGUCCCCUUGUGGCUUGGCAGGUUGGGGACAAUAUAGGCAGGGAGGAGUGAGAUCAGACUAGUAGAGGAGGCAAAUUGAAUCCACAGAGGCCAAAGGUGGCAAUUAGAAAGGGGCUUGUGGAGUGGCUGAAGAGUUUGGGAUUUAUUACCUCUAGGGUACUGGAGAGUCAUCCAUGGGCUUGAAGCAGGGGAAUUAUGAGAUCACAUCUGGGCUGUGCAGUUGUGUAGGGGGAGGAGGCAGGAAGCAGUGAAGAGUCUAAAGAUGUGGUCAGAAGUGAUAGUGCCUGAGCCAGGUUGGAGGCAGUGGGGAUAGAGAGAUUAGAGUGAAGAGAUAUCCCAAAGGCAGAAUGGACAAUUUAGAGAUUGAUGGGAUGUGGGAGAUGAGAGAAUGAAG
rnacentral:lncRNA from 1 species